GAUGCAGGCAGGGGCACAGUUUAAUGCACCUGAAUUUUCUGCGCAGAAAAUUCAGGUGAAUUCAUUGCACGUGUAGAAACACCCACUAUGCAUCAAAGUGUUGGAGAAUCAUGAAGUGCCUAUAGGAAUUUUAUUUACAAAAGGGCUUAAAGAUCAAACCAGCACAUUUCUUGCGAGCAGUUAUUUCUGUCGCAUGUUUAAGCACUGACUGAGAUAGGAUCCCCAUUGUUCUAGGCAUUGUGUUUGUGUACACAUGCAUAUGAAAAUGCAUAUGUGCACAUGUAAGAGACAACCCUUGCCUCAAACGAGCAGUUCACAAGGCAGGAAACAACAGGUCACAAGGAUUUUGUUUACCUUAUAUACAUAUGUUGUAAGAACAAAUCAACUCUCAUUGUCAGAACAGAUAGUAACAUGCAAAGUGUUUGUCUUAUGAUGUAAAUAUCAAUUUACAGUCCUCUGCUUAUUUUGCUCCCUUGUGCUGUUGUCAACAUUUGGGUAGUACACUUGGGACAGUGAAUAGAGAGCAACAAGUCAGCCAAUCACUCCACAAGGGCCAGAGCAGUCUGCAACCCACAUAAAACAAACAUAGAACAAGCACUUAAAUCUCAGUGUAGGGCAGGGGUGUCAACUUGUCAGGCCUAGUGGGUGAGAUGAGUGGUGUGGGGCCAACAUACAGGCUGGAUGAGUCACAAUGGGCUGUAUUGGACCCACAGACUAGCCCCAGCAUUCAGGGCUGGCCAGCUGUGGAUAGUGCCCCUUUGGCACAUUCUACCUGUGUUAUACAGAUCCAGUUCAAGACCCAUGGGUGGCAUAGUAGGCUGGAUGACAGGGUUCCGGAGGGUGGAUCUGGCCUGUGAGUCAUAUCUUUAAUGCCUCUGAUGCAGGGUAUUCACUUUGACCUGAUCUAGGAAUACAUAAAUAAAUAAACAGAAAACUUCUUCCAGGCCAUGCUGUCUGCCCAAAAUCAUUUGCAGUUUUUAAAUAAUAUUAAUUCCAGCUGCCUGGCUUCUGGUUAGCAUAGCAUCAAGGUUGAAGUUAACAUUUUUCUGAGCCUGUGGCUCCUGAAGUUUCUCACAGACACCAAACCAUUGUGACAUCAGGGUUUCUUCAUCUGAAAUCUGAUGUGCACAAAGCAGGCAGACUGGCACUGGAGUGUCAUUAGCAAUGGUUGUUCACUGCAGCUAUGACCUUAGCCUACCUAACUCUUACUUGAGUAAUGUUGGAGCUUGUUGGUGUUUUCAGUAUAGAAUGAUUCUCUUUUCUAGCUGCAAUUUAGAUUUAGAUUCACUCUGAAGGUCUGCAAAGCCACUAGAAAGAAACAUAACCUGUCUUCCACAGUAUGUCCAGUAUUACAUUCUGAUAGCAACUAAGGUAACCUAUGUCUGCAUAGGAGCCCAGAUGCCACAGCAGUGCUAUUUUGAAUCAUGCAGAGGAAGGGAGUCUGUUCCUAGCUCUCCUUGCAUUCCAGUCAUAGGCUUCUGUAUGUCUGUUAUUUGUUCUGGUGGGAAGGUAAUGUUACCACUUUUUAAACAAAAUGCAAAAAUGAUCACUGAUAGUUGUAAUUUUAGUUGAUACUGAAAAGAGAGAUCAUCUAGUUACAGUGGUAGUUUGGGGAGGGGGGGUGCAGUCUAGCUGCAGUCUUGAUGAUAGGCUAACAUAGGGGCUUGGUCUGUGAUGCCAGUUCUAAUAUGUAGUAUUUAUAUAGGGCAAAGUGUUAAGACUGGACUUGUGCUUUGACCUUUAAGAUAUUUUUAGAGUAUUACUUUCAGUGGAAAAGAAAGAGUCUCUUCAGUUUUUGGGCAUCAUGCAGAAGCUUAUAUACAAUUAUUCUCUUUUCCCCCUCCAGCUGAACCUAGAAAUAUGAUCACAAUGACUUGAUGGGAAAAGCAGUUGUAGGACAUGGAAAAGGAAGAGAAGUCUUAAAAACAAGUUUUACUCUAUGUAGCAAGUUCAACUAAUUGUCAUUUGUCAGAACUUGUAUCUGUUUUGUUGUAUUAUAUAUUCCAAGACUGCAGAAUCCCACGUUUUCCCCCCAAGCUAGAACAAUCCUCCUGGGAGGAGGUGUCUUCUUGCCACAUUAUCUUCUACCUUACAACCUAAAAUACUAUCCUGUAAAAUCUCUUAAUCUAAGGUUUUCCAACAAAGGAUGCUACAGCAACCAGAACAGUACGAUGCCAUUCUGAUAUCCAGGAUGUACAUAAUGAACCAGGAAUCUCAUUGUAUUUAUGGCUGAAACCCAAACCCAACGCAAUUUAAACUUUACACUUAGCCCCUUCCUUUACAAUUAUAUUUUGCCAUGUGAAAGUUUAUUCUGCAGUAGAAUUGUAAUUGUUCCCUUUGAAUUAACAAAAAA